UAAUUUAUAAGCAGUUUGAGAGCGCUCACCCUUGGCAAACUUCUAGCCUACAUGUGUGCGCAAAAAUAUUCGUUUUUUGAUGAUUUCUCUGAACCAAAAACUUUUUCUGAAAAAGUAAAACCAUUAAAGCACAUUU